UUAUUACGGAGAGUUUGAUCCUGGCUCAGGACGAACGCUGGCGGCGGGCUUAACACAUGCAAGUCGAACGAGAAGCUCAGAGCUUGCUCUGAGCGGAAAGUGGCGCACGGGUGCGUAACGCGUAGGCAACCUGCCUUCGAGAGGGGGAUAACUACCGGAAACGGUGGCUAAUACCCCAUAUUGUCUGUUUAUCGCAUGAUAGACAGGUGAAAGCCUUCGGGUGCUCGGAGAUGGGCCUGCGUCGGAUUAGGUAGUUGGUAAGGUAACGGCUUACCAAGCCUGCGAUCCGUAGCUGGUCUGAGAGGAUGAUCAGCCACACUGGCACUGAGACACGGGCCAGACUCCUACGGGAGGCAGCAGUGAGGAAUAUUGCGCAAUGGGCGAAA
rnacentral:rRNA from 1 species